AAUCUCUAUUAAAGUAAACUAAAUCUCAAUUAAAGUAAACUAAAUCAUUCUGAUACAUAACUAAAUCUCACUUAAAGUAAACUAAAUCUCACUUAAAGUAAACUAAUCGUUCUAUUUCACAUUGUCUCAUAAUGAUAUUCGUUCUUGAAGUAGAUCAAGGAGGAUCAGAAGUAAAUCAAUUAGGUCAAGAAGUAAAUUAGUUGUUGCGUUAGGUCGUCUUUGAUGUAGAUUCCUUGAUAGGCUUGCUGACUGCUAUUGUGGAGAUUUUGGCUAGAUUAAGUUGCUGCUUAAUGAGCAGGAAAUUCAUGAUUUACUGAUCUAACCUGCAACAAUAUGUUCAAGUCAGAAUGUUGGCCCUACUUUAACAACCUGCAACCUACAACAUAUUUAUUUAUUCAUUUAUUUCUCCUUAAACCAAAUCUUGUAGAGUAGUUUCAACAUUUUGAUAAUUUCUUUUGAUCAUUGCAUUGUUUUCUAACUAAUAAUUAUUAUUUUUGAUCAUUCAUUGAUUCUUUUCUAUCGUUAUUUGUUAUCAUGGGGAUACAUUGCCAUUGACUUUAGUAUCUUGAAUCGGAUAUUUAGGCUGCAUUGCCAAAUUGGCAAAUCAAAUUACUGGGUUAUUUAGAGAUAAAACAAGUGGGUUUGUUUUUCGAGUUUUGAGGUUGUUGAUUGAGUUGUUCUGUUGUUGUUUGAAGAAGGAAAUUGACAAAGCUGAUAAAAUUAGAGGGUUAAAGUUGGUGUGUUAAUGCCAAGACAUGACAAAAAGGUGGUGUGCGCGUAGAACAUUGGUAUAGAAGGUGUUUGUAGAUUGUGAUAAUGGGGUGUAUUUGUUAAAAGGAAUCAUCUGGUAAUAAUGAUGAAAGAGGAGGGGUGAAUAAGUCCCAAGUAAUUUCAUGACUAUUAAUUCUAGAUGGAAAUAGUAGUUUUCAGCGAAAUAAUCAAGAACUGUCAAGUAAUUUCGCAAACAGAAAAUGAGACGUGUCCAGCACUCAGAAGUCAGAAACUAAGAGGUAGAUUUGGUCAUAAGAAGAGCACUUCUUAAGAAAAAAAAAACUAAGAACAAUCAACAUAUCUAUAGACAGCAGGAGUUUGUACCGAGAUGCUCAUGAAGGAAAUGCAAUUUCCCAUGAUGCAUGUGCUUGCGGUUGGCUGUUAACUUUUGAAUUAGUUCCAUCUACUUUUUUAGUUAUUUAUCUACUUUUGAAAAUGUGAUGCAACUUGAGAUUUUUUGUUUAUGUGAAUUACUUUAAAUCAGUUCCAUUUAUUUUAAAUUAGUUCCAUUUACUUUUUGUUCAAUUGAUACAUGCUGCUGCAAGUUGGGGCCAGAUUGGGUGUGGCUCAGAUGAGCACCUAGUUCUUGGUAUAAAUCAGUAGUAUGAAUUGAGGGAGGAGGACCCGACUACUAGCUCACCUUCGAAGGAGGCCAACCAGAAGCAUCUGAGGGAGGUAUUCAACAUGAACAUGACAAGGAUUCUUGCAUUCAAGAACAAGCCACCUACUCAUGUUGAGUUCAUGCCCCAGGACUAUGCUUCUGUCCACCAAUCUAAGCCUGUUAAGCCUCGCAAACACAUCCGUCAGGGGAUUCGCAAGCAUUUGGAUUACCAUGAACGGGUGCCCUGAGUUCGAAGGAACGAUGGGGCGAUGCCGUAGAACAAUCCUCUUUUUUGCAAGCUUACUGCCUUUACUACUUGUUGGCGAUCCUGGCUGUGUCUAGUGGUGAAAGAAGGUCUUUAAGCGAACGACUUAUGUCUAGUGGUGAAAGAAAGUCUUUAAGUGAGUUAGUUCGCUUUAGGGAGGGUCAAGUCUAGUACUUUAGAGGUCAUGGACGCUUGCGCUAGCCCCCAUUCAAUUGAGGCAAAGCGAUAUUUUUGAGUCUUGGCUAAGUGCCUAGGAGUGUGAGUGCUCCUUCUGGCAAGGGUACGUGCCCUUAUUAUUUUUCGAUGUGUGCUCAUUAAUUUUGGCAUUUUGAUGACUUGGAUUCUUCCUUUGACUUAAAUUUUUCUUUCGACUUGGAUUACAAGUAAUUAAAUUUCAAUAAGGGACUUCUAUUUUUUAUUCUUGUUUUUCUAUAGGCUUUAAUAUUUUUGGAAAUUGGUUGGACCGAAUCAUGGAUUGCCUACGUAUCCGCCUUAAAUAAAUUUAAUUUGGAAUCAGGUCUUGCGUAGUUCUUAGCCUAGAAAAUGGUUUCAUAGAAUGCCGAUUUUAAACAAGUAUGUUCUGAGGUGGAAACAUAUUUUUUGAAAUGGUAGAAUAAGUGAAGUUUAUUAUUAUUUUAAUCUGCCGCUUUGCCGUAAGCCAAAAAUUUGUUUUAUAUUUUUUGAGUACAUAAUUUUUUGAGUACAUGUAUUUUUUGGUACGUAUAUCUGAAUACGUGUUGUACCCCUCCAAGUGUUCGUUAUUUUUCCGUGCAUGUGCGGAUAAAAUGACGAGCACUUCUGGACAAAAUUUGGCGAGCAGAGAGAUUC